UGUGAUUCCUUCCUCCUGCAUCCACUGUUUGAUUAACUUCACUGCUACCCUGUCACAGCAUUCCUCUUUUGUGAUGCAUUGUUUAUUUUUAAAGCAUUUGGCAAUGUCCCAUAUAAUACUUUCUGCAGCUGCCUUCUCUACACCAAUAAGAGACAAGUUAAUUUGUUCCAUUCCACAACUUGAAUUAUUUCCACCAUGUAGCAAGCAUUUAGGGCUCUCUAUUGUCAACCUUUCCGUGAAACUCGGAACCGACACACUAUCCAUAGCCACUACCAAGACCUUGAGCAACAGUUUCAUACUAUGAUUCUUAUCUAACUGUUUGUGAAAGAUCUAUUUUAACAUUUUAAUAUACUUCAUUCUCAAUUUGGCCCCCAGUUUCUUGAUUCUAUCUUUGUUAACAGUUAAGAUGUUGGUGGAGAAUUCCUAGUAUA
rnacentral:lncRNA from 1 species